GCCUGGGUGGCUCAGUCAGUGAAGCGUCUGACUUCGGCUCAGGUCAUGAUCUCACAGUUGGUGGGUUCGAGCCCCCCGUCAGGCU
rnacentral:tRNA from 1 species